AUUGAACGCUGGCGGCAGGCUAAACACAUGCAAGUCGAGCGGGGGAAGGUAGCUUGCUACCGGACCUAGCGGCGGGCGGGUGAGUAAUGCAUAGGAAUCUGCCUAUUAGUGGGGGAGAACAUCUCGAAAGGGAUGCUAAUACCGCAUACGUCCUACGGGAGAAAGCAGGGGAUCUUUGGACCUUGCGCUAAUAGAUGAGCUUAAGUCGGAGUAGCUAGUUGGUGGGGUAAAGGCCUACCAAGGCGACGGUCUGUAGCGGGUCUGAGAGGAUGAUCCGCCACACUGGGACUGAGACACGGCCCAGACUCCUACGGGAGGCAGCAGUGGGGAAUAUUGGACAAUGGGGGGAACCCUGAUCCAGCCAUUCCGCGUGUGUGAAGAAGGCCUUAUGGUUGUAAGGCACUCUAAGCGAGGAGGAGGCUACUUUAGUUAAUACCUAGAGAUAGUGGACGUUACUCGCAGAAUAAGCACCGACUAACUCUGUGCCAGCCGCCGCGGUAA
rnacentral:rRNA from 1 species